rnacentral:rRNA from 1 species
GGGUCAGCAGGUUGGUCGCGCCAUUGGUAUGCACUGGCCUUGCUGAUUCCUCCCUCUUGAUGAGCCGUAAUGUCAUUAAUUUGGUGUUGCGGGGAAUCAGGACUGUUACUUUGAAAAAUUAGAGUGUUUAAAGCAGGCAAGCGCUUGAAUACAUUAGCAUGGAAUAAUGAAAUAGGACGUUUAAUCCUAUUUUGUUGGUUUCCAGGAUUGACGUAAUGAU